AUAUGGCUGAGAUUGCUUUAUGUUGGACAGGUGCCUCCAAGAAAAUAACUUAUGUUAAAAGAAAGUAGACUGCUUUACUGUCAAGUUAGCUGUAAAUCUUGGCCAUUAGGAAACAGCGAAAAUAUCCUUCUCCCACUAGUCUAAUUUGAAAUAUUUGAAACAUUAACAGAUAUGUCCUUUGUAGUUUGAAGGAACAGUAAAACGUAUUGAGGUGAAUGAAUAUGUAAGCCAUCGAGAAAUGGCAUGUUCUUUGGUGAUGAGAGAAUUAAGGAAGGGAUAUGCGGCCAAAGCGCUUGUAUCCGCUGGCAGCAAGCGGAAGUUCUUGGCACUCUUCCUCCGUGUGCCUCUUAUAUGGAUGUUCCCGAAAAUGAUCUGGUUGGGGAAUCUGCUCCAAAAGUUCCAUUUGGAAAGAGGAAGAUGUAAUCAGAAUAAUGCUGCUUAGAACUUCGGGACUCAUUCAUUUCCAAUUAGCCAGUCAGGCAUCAAUAUCUGUGGAGUGUGAUUGUGUAGAAAUUGUUAUUCGCCCUGAUAAGAUUUGACAACAUCAAAAGCUUGAUACAGAAUGAACUUCCUGAGUCAUGGUUUCGGGUCAGAUUGAGAAUUAAAUAUUUUGAAUCACUGAAUGUCUCGGAUAUUGGCGGUAUUAAUGGUGCCAAUUUCUUUUGACUGGCUCAUGGGGAAGGCAAGUUGUGGUGUUCAAUCACUGGUGUAUCAGAAGAAGAGUUUCUUUUGGUCUCAUCUUGCAAUUCAACAAUGAAACGGGGUGAUGGGGGAGGUUCAUAUGCUUUCUCUACUGAAUUAGCUGGUUCUGACUUUGUCUACAUGUGGGAUCCAGUGAAUUCCCAUGGACUUUUGUUCAGGACUGUCAGAUGAGGCACUUUUUCUGCUAUGGGUGGUCGAUUGGAUUGAUUCGAUGCAAUAGCACCUUUCUUUACUUUGCCAGCUUCUGAAACUGAGGGUUCUGGUGACUGUUCUUCAUCGAAAGGAGAUUGGCGACAGCUUCCUGGAUCUUGUUCUUCUUUCAACUUGGUCGACACGGCUUUGAGCUAUGAACCUUAUCUAAAGAACCUGAUGGUCACCUCACAAAUUGUUGACCUUGGAUUCGGUCAUUCAAGUGUCAAGUCAUCCUUGUACAACUGUUAUGUUUCCUGUAUCAUAGCUGCAUCUUGCUUCAGUAUUUCCAAUGCAAAUUCCGGAGAUUCGAUUGGCACUGAUGGCAAAAUAAAAGUGCAAGAUUUUGGGCUUCUCCUUUGCUCGGUUAUCUUUUUAUUUUACCAGAUCAAUAUCGCGAGGGGAUUUUAAUUUUACAACCUUUUUUUGGCGUAGAAGCAAAGUGGAUUGCUGCCUGUAGAAAAGGUCUUCUCUAAAUUGUGGGAUGUGGUGUUAGAGGAAUGGCAGGAGACUUCACUCUUUCUCUUUUUCUUUGGGGGUUGAAUAAUUUUUUCUGUGGGUAAGAUAUGCAGGACUUUGUAUUUUGCUGUAUCAAUUAGUCUGUGG